GACGAACGCUGGCGGCGUGCUUAACACAUGCAAGUCGAACGGAAAGGCCCUGCUUUUGUGGGGUGCUCGAGUGGCGAACGGGUGAGUAACACGUGAGUAACCUGCCCUUGACUUUGGGAUAACUUCAGGAAACUGGGGCUAAUACCGGAUAGGAGCUCCUGCUGCAUGGUGGGGGUUGGAAAGUUUCGGCGGUUGGGGAUGGACUCGCGGCUUAUCAGCUUGUUGGUGGGGUAGUGGCUUACCAAGGCUUUGACGGGUAGCCGGCCUGAGAGGGUGACCGGCCACAUUGGGACUGAGGUACGGCCCAGACUCCUACGGGAGGCAGCAGUGGGGACUAUUGCACAAUGGGCGGAAGCCUGAUGCAGCAACGCCGCGUGCGGGAUGACGGCCUUCGGGUUGUAAACCGCUUUCGCCUGUGACGAAGCGUGAGUGACGGUAAUGGGUAAAGAAGCACCGGCUAACUACGUG
rnacentral:rRNA from 1 species